rnacentral:rRNA from 1 species
AACGAACGCUGGCGGCAGGCCUAACACAUGCAAGUCGAGCGAGGACUUCGGUUCUAGCGGCGGACGGGUGAGUAACGCGUGGGAAUGUGCCCUUCUCUACGGAAUAGCCCUGGGAAACUGGGAGUAAUACCGUAUACGCCCUAUUGGGGAAAGAUCUAUCGGAGAAGGAUCAGCCCGCGUUGGAUUAGGUAGUUGGUGGGGUAAUGGCCUACCAAGCCGACGAUCCAUAGCUGGUUUGAGAGGAUGAUCAGCCACACUGGGACUGAGACACGGCCCAGACUCCUACGGGAGGCAGCAGUAGGGAAUCUUAGACAAUGGGGGCAACCCUGAUCUAGCCAUGCCGCGUGAGUGAUGAAGGCCUUAGGGUUGUAAAGCUCUUUCAGCUGGGAAGAUAAUGACGGUACCAGCAGAAGAAGCCCCGGCUAACUCCGUG